AGCAGCCCGCCCGCGCUGCCGACCUCCAGGUUCUUGGCGGUUGAGGGGCUUUCCAUUCCGGUUGACUUCUGUUCCUAUGCUGGUCCCUCUCCCUGCUCAGUCUUUGCAGACAUGAACCCCAGCGACCCCAGCUACUCCUUGGCUUCGCUCUAUGUGGGGGACCUGCACCCGGACGUGACCGAGGCGAUGCUCUACGAGAAGUUCAGCCCGGCAGGGCCCAUCCUCUCCAUCCGGGUGUACAGGGACAGGACCACCCGCCGCUCGCUGGGCUACGCAUCUGUCAACUUCCAGCAGCUGGAGGACGCUGAACGGGCUUUGGACACCAUGAAUUUCGAUGUGAUAAAGGGCAAGCCGGUUCGCAUCAUGUGGUCUCAGCGGGACCCGUCGCUGCGCAAGAGCGGAGUAGGCAACAUAUUCGUCAAAAAUCUGGACAGGUCCAUUGACAGUAAAACGCUGUAUGAUACGUUUUCUGCCUUCGGUAACAUCCUUUCCUGUAAGGUGGUGUGUGACGAGAAUGGUUCCAAGGGUUACGGCUUUGUACACUUCGAGACACAAGAAGAAGCCGAACGAGCAAUUGAGAAAAUGAAUGGGAUGUUCCUAAAUGACCGCAAAGUGUUCGUUGGGCGCUUUAAGUCUCGUAGAGACCGGCAGGCUGAACUUGGAGCCAGGGCCAAGGAGUUCACCAAUGUUUACAUCAAGAAUUUAGGAGAAGACAUGGAUGAUGAGAGACUCCAGGAUCUCUUUGGCAGAUUUGGGCCUGCCUUAAGUGUUAAAGUCAUGACUGACGAAAGUGGAAAAUCCAAAGGAUUCGGAUUCGUAAGCUUUGAAAGGCAUGAAGAUGCACGAAAGGCAGUGGAUGAGAUGAAUGGAAAAGACCUCAAUGGAAAACAAAUUUAUGUAGGUCGAGCUCAGAAAAAGGUGGAACGACAGACUGAACUGAAGCACAAAUUUGGGCAGAUGAAACAAGAUAAGCACAAAAUUGAACAGGUACCACAAGACAGAAGCGUCAGAUGCCAAGGUGUUAACCUUUAUGUGAAAAACCUUGAUGAUGGUAUUGAUGAUGAGCGUCUCCGGAAGGAGUUUUCUCCGUUUGGUACGAUUACUAGUGCAAAGGUAACGAUGGAGGGUGGGCGCAGCAAAGGGUUUGGUUUUGUAUGUUUUUCCUCUCCAGAAGAAGCCGCCAAAGCCGUUACAGAAAUGAAUGGUAAAAUAGUGGCCACAAAACCACUCUAUGUAGCUUUAGCUCAACGCAAAGAGGAGCGCCAGGCUCACCUCAAUAACCAGUACAUGCAAAGAAUGGCAAGCACCAGUGCCGUGCCUAAUCCAGUCAUCAGCCCUUUCCAGCCAGCACAGGGUCCUUCAGGUUUCUUCAUGACUGCUACACCACCGACUCAGAACCGUGGGACAUACUAUGCUCCUAAUCAAACUGCUCAGCAAGGACCAAGUGCCUGUGGGAGUGCUCAGGGUACCAGAGCUCAUCUAUUCCAAAACAUACCGAGUGCCAUCCACCCAUCUAAUAAUACUGUGUCAUCAUUUAGUACUUCAGGACCUGCUUCCUCACAAGCUAUACGACAUCGUACUGCCAACACAUCCACACAGAUGAUGGGCCCACAUCUUGCAGCUGCUUCUACUGCAGCUGCUCCUGCCACCCGCGCAGUUACCCAGUAUAAGUAUACUGCUGGAGUCCGAAAUCCCCCUCAGCAUCUUAAUACACAGCCACAGGUCACCAUGCAGCGGUCUGCUGUUCCUGUCCGAGGUAAAGAGUCUUUAACUGCCUCCAUGUUGGCCUCUGCUCCUCCUCAAGCUCAAAAGCAAAUGUUAGGGGAAUGGCUGUUUUCUCUUAUUCAGGCCAUGCACCCCGCUCUUGCUGGUAAAAUCACUGGUAUGCUGUUGGAAAUUGAUAACUUGGAACUACGCCACAUGCUUGAGUCUCCAGAGUGUCUUCACACCAAAGUUGAUGAAGCCAUAGCUGUACUACAAGCCCACCAAGCUAAAGAGACUCCCCAGAAAGCAGUCAGCAGUGUUGCUGGUGUCCCAACUGCUUAAAGAUGAGCAGACAAAAGCAUAAAAACUCCUGGUUCACUGAAGAAAAAUAUCUAGACAUCGAAAACUAUGACAACAAAAAGCAAACUAGAAACUAAAUGAAAAGGAAAGAAACUUAUAAUCUCCUGUGCCAAGUCAGUGUCAGGUCUAGUGAGCAACCCCAGGUCACUUGGUUUAAGACAACAGAUAACAGAAAAAGUGACAUUUAAGAACAAAUUAAUGUUAUCGACUUUGGGGAAAUGAUUUUCUUUUUAGGAAAGCGCAAAAAUUAUUUUGUUUGUAAUUCAAAUAGCUCAAGAUGUCAAUUCUAAGUAAUAGAGUUGAUACUUGAGCAAGGACUAUGAUUUGAAUCAUAAUAUCCUUGCUUUACUAAAGCUUCCUUAAAGAGUAAAAGGGAGAAAUAAAGGCAUCACUGUUGGCCAAUAAUACCUGUGAGACUUCUAGAAGGCUACUUCUAUCUGUGGCAGCUGUAUUUCCACUCGGCUGUUGCCAGAUACAAAACACAUACCAUCUGUACUUCACAACCCCAUCAACUGAUGCACCAGAGUACCACCUUCAACUUAGAAGCUUCUGUCUGUGGCACACAUGAGCUACAGAAAAUCAUUUUUACAGUCGUAAAAGUUACCUUUAUAGUCUCUGGAUUUCACUGAUCCCCUUUCAUAGCAUCUAAUGAACUAACUUAUGUAAAUAUGUGCCUUCUUCAAACUCAAUCUAACUUUCAGAUUACAUUUAUGCAUUGGCACCUUGCUGUGUUCUGGAAGAUACAGGAGUUUUGGUUUUUUGAAACUGUUUUGGUGGAAUAGAUGAGAAGCUAAAACAAAAGUAUUGGAUCACCAAAAACAUACAAAAACGUAGGGGAAGAAAGACGGAAUGAAGGAGAUAGGAGACUUGGAGAUAGAGUGAGCAGUUUGGAGGGGAGAGGGUUAAUCUGAUUUUUUUCAGACCCUAAGAAAACCCAAACAGAUAUCAGGAAAACAGGCAUGCCCUCUGGAGCAGAUAUAAGCUAAGUGGGUUCUGGAGAGGGAAAAGCUGGGUGAGUGGCUUUCUCCACACAAAGAGGGAGGAUUUGAGUAGAAAAACAACAAAUGGGUUGGUUUUCAAGAAUAUCGAUCUAUACAAUAAAGCUGUUCUUCACAAAUACAAA